UUCUGACUCAGGGAAUGACGAAAGGAAGCCACAAAUACCUUAUGUAAAGGGCUUGCAGCUGUGCCCUGUGAAGGAGCACUCCCUCCAGACUGGGCAUGCGUCCUGGCCUCUGUUUGGAAUGCUCUCUUUCUGCCUCAGUUUCCUUCCUGAUGUAUAUAUAUAGACUCAGCCUCUCUGCCCAAGUCUUCUAUGAUGACAGCUCACUAGGCAGGCAGCGUGGAUCUAUGUUCCAGUCUCCUCUUGCAGAUCAGAUACCACCUCUGAGAUCCUUCUCUGCUCCUCACUGACCAAACUCAAGGAACAGAUCUUCCCUGCCCAGGUCUCCAGGACCCCAACCUACCCACUUCUAGGAGAGAAUUCACACAGGGUGGUCCUGAAAGGAGGAGGUGCUUUGCUUCUCUUUUUCGCAGAUGUCAAUUAUGGAUCAACUUCUGAGUCACAUAGAAGAGCACCAUCAAUUGGCCAUUUCUCACCUGAUCACUGAGGAUAUAAAGUGCUUUUCCAGACUCCAGGACUCGGUUCAUUGCUAGUAUCAGGACGCCUCUCAUGUAUGGGAAGCCAGAAACAUCCCAGGAGCCUCACUGACUGCUUGGGCACAGCCCUCUGAGCAGACCUAUGAAGAAACAGAAGGAUUUGUGCCUUUUAGGUAUCUCUGGUCAAAACAGGUAUUUGAAGUUCUGAUUCUGCUAUUAUCUGGCACCUCCACUUGGCCCAUUGCUGGAAAUAUUAGGACUAGAAAACAUCAAGAUCAGGCACCGAACAGGCAAAUCUCCACUGAGUGGUUCUGAUGUGCAAAUAGCUGAUGAAGACUGGUUAUGGUUAUAAAAUGGAACACAGUUUUCUAAUUACAUAGUGUGUGGGUCUCGUGUGUGUGUGUGUGUGCAUGCAUGUGUGUGCAUGUGUGUGUUCGUGUGUGUGUGUGUGCAUGUAUAUCUAAGGUGCUUCACAUUUAGCUCUCAGCUCUCAGAAUGAGUCCACAUUCUGAGGUAAAUCUAUGGUGUUUGAUACCAACCAAUUUGAGAGAAACAUCUGGUGUCAUUUGCUUUUCUAGAUUCAUUUUUAUAUCUCCAAGACAGAGACACAACAAAGCUUUACUUAGGGCCAACUUAUUCUAAAGUUUUAUUGGUAUCUAGAAGUAGACACCCAUGUCUCUUCCACUUCCUUAUUUGAAUAAAAUUAAGUGGGUCUAGUCCUUACCUUAAUUCUCUCUUAAAAAUGCUCAAGAAAACCAAUUUCAAUAGCUGGGCCUAAAACAAUAUUACAAAACUUGGGUGCUAGGAUUAUAACAAGGAUUUUUCCAACCAGCAAGAAACAAAGCAAGACUUUCAAACAGUUUUAUUAUUUUUUAUCUUUUUAAAAAUUGUAUUGGGGUAAAAUACACGUAGCAUAAAAUUUACCAUCUUAACCAUUUUUAGGCCUACAGUUCAGUGGUACUAAGUACAUUCCUAUUGUUAUACGGCCACUACCACUAUCCAUCUCCAGAAUCUUUUCAUCUUCCCAAACUGAAAUUCUGCCUCCAUUAAACAAUAACUCCCCAGUCCCAUCUUUCCCCAGGCCCUGGAAACCACCAUUCUAUUUUCUGUCUUUAUAAAUUUCACUACUCUAGACAUUUCAUAUAAAGAGAAUCAUAUAAUAUGUGUUCUUUUGUGGCUGGCUUAUUUCGCAGAGCAUAAUGUCUUCAAGCUUCAUCCAUGUUGUAGCAUAUGUCAGAAUUACCUUUGUUUUGAGGGUGAAUAAUAUUUCAUCAUAUGUAGAUGCCACAUAUUGUUUACUCACUCAUCCCUCAAUGGACGCUUGGGUUGCAUCCACGUUUUGGCUACUGUGAAAAAUGCUGCUAUGAAUAUGGGUGUACAAACAUCUCUUUGAGACCCUGCUUUCAACUCUUUUGGGUAUAUACCCAAAAGGUUAAUUGGUGGAUCAUACAGUAUUUCUACCUUUAAUUUUUUGAGGACUCACCAUAGUGUUUUCCAUAGCAGUUACAUCAUUUUACAAUCCUACCAAUAAACGGUACACAAGGGUUCCAAUUUUUUCACAUCCUUGCCAACACUUGUUAUUUUAUGUUUUUAGGCUAGCCAUCCUAAUGGGCAUGAGGCCUUCCAAACAGUUUUAUGAUCGACUAAGUUAACCAAGUAAACCAGAUCAAUGACGGGCCAUAACAUCAAUGACCAAAAGAAAGGGGGAUGGAAGACACUCAGAAAGUUCCACCCCAGCCCUUACAACAUUGUUUGAAUGGAGAGUAGAAGGGGACAAGCUCCCAUUUCACAAGGUAAAGUUUAUAGAUUACCUAGAUGUCUUUCAUUGCCACUUGUUCUAGGUCACACACACAAAACCUAACUCAGCAGUCUCAAGUAUAUCAGGAGGAAAAUGAUGCAAGUCUCAGUGAGAGAGAGAGAAAUAGUGAGAGAAAGAGUGAAAAGGAGGAGGAGGAAAAGGAGAAAAGGAAGGAAGAGAGGGAAUAGGAAAGGAGAGGCAAGGAAAGCUUUCACGUAGCAAAUGAAACAGAAUGAAAAGACAAACUACAGAAUAGGAGAAAAUAUUUGCAAACCAUAUAUCUGAUAAGGGAUUACUGUAAUAUCCAAAGUGUAUAAGGAAUUUCUACAACUGAAUAGCAAAAAAUAAAAUAAAAUAAUAACAAAUAACCCUACUAAAAAUGGGCAAAAGACUUGAAUAGACAUUCUCCAAAGAAGACAUGCAAAUGGUCAACAGUUAUAUAAAAAGAUGCUUGACUGGGCGCAGUGGCUCAUGCCUGUAAUCCCAGC
rnacentral:lncRNA from 10 species